UUGAGUAACCGGUUCUUGGACUCAUUCAGAAAUCCGAAGAUACAUUCGUGUGCACUGCGCGAACCAUCUUUCAGUCGAAAUCACGUGACGUCAUGCGCAGAGGUUGGGUAUCCUGACCGCGUAAUUGUAGUUGCGUCUUUCACCACGGGAAGGGGAGACCCGGUGUUAACCAGGAAAUGUGGACACAUGAUUGGUUAUAUAGGAGCAGAAAUCGCCAAGACGAAUCAGAAGUGAUUCGGUACGAAGGUGUGAACUGUAUAAGCGGAUACUCUGUUUUCAGAACAAAGACUUCUUUCAUCGCAUACACAAAUGAUGUUAAUCGUCAGCGUCAGCUUACUCUUCAUUGUUGGAACAGCAAUGACUUUUCCACAAGCCUCCUUUUACGCAACAAACAUCAAGGGAACUUACCCACAAAUUCUGCCCCGAUUUGGUGGUGAUGACUCAGAUAUUGGUAAUCGCCUUGGAGAAAA